UACGGAGGGUGCAAGCGUUAUCCGGAUUUACUGGGUUUAAAGGGUGCGUAGGCGGGUUGAUAAGUCAGGGGUGAAAGCCUCCCGCUCAACGGGAGAACUGCCAUUGAUACUAUCAGUCUUGAAUACAGUUGAGGUGGGCGGAAUGUGUCGUGUAGCGGUGAAAUGCUUAGAUAUGACACAGAACACCGAUUGCGAAGGCAGCUCGCUAAACUGUGAUUGACGCUGAGGCACGAAAGCGUGGGGAUCAAACAGG
rnacentral:rRNA from 1 species